rnacentral:rRNA from 1 species
UACGUAGGUGACCAGCGUUGUCCGGAUUUACUGGGCGUAAAGAGCGCGCAGGCGGUCGUUCAAGUCGAGUGUGAAAGCCCCCGGCUCAACUGGGGAGGGUCAUUCGAUACUGAUCGACUCGAAGGCAGGAGAGGGAAGCGGAAUUCCCGGUGUAGUGGUGAAAUGCGUAGAUAUCGGGAGGAACACCAGUGGCGAAGGCGGCUUUCUGGCCUGUUCUUGACGCUGAGGCGCGAAAGCCAGGGGAGCGAACGGG